UACGGAGGGUGCAAGCGUUAUCCGGAUUCACUGGGUUUAAAGGGUGCGUAGGUGGGCAGGUAAGUCAGUGGUGAAAUCUCCGGGCUUAACCCGGAAACUGCCAUUGAUACUAUCAGUCUUGAAUACCGUGGAGGUAAGCGGAAUAUGUCAUGUAGCGGUGAAAUGCUUAGAUAUGACAUAGAACACCAAUUGCGAAGGCAGCUUACUACCCGGAAUAUUGACACUGAGGCACGAAAGCGUGGGG
rnacentral:rRNA from 1 species